AACGAACGCUGGCGGCAGGCUUAACACAUGCAAGUCGAGCGCGUAGCAAUACGAGCGGCAGACGGGUGAGUAACGCGUGGGAACGUACCCUUUUCUACGGAAUAACCCAGGGAAACUUGGACUAAUACCGUAUACGCCCUUCGGGGGAAAGAUUUAUCGGAGAAGGAUCGGCCCGCGUUGGAUUAGCUAGUUGGUGGGGUAAAGGCCUACCAAGGCGACGAUCCAUAGCUGGUCUGAGAGGAUGAUCAGCCACAUUGGGACUGAGACACGGCCCAAACUCCUACGGGAGGCAGCAGUGAGGAAUAUUGGAAUAUGGGCGCAAGUCUGAUCCAGCCAUGCCGCGUGAGUGAUGAAGGCCUUUGGGUUGUAAAGCUCUUUCACCGGGGAAGAUAAUGACGGUACCCGGAGAAGAAGCCCCGGCUAACUUCGUGCCAGCCGCCGCGGUAA
rnacentral:rRNA from 1 species